UCAAAACCAGCUCAGUUGGUAGAACAUGAGACUCUCAAUCUCAGGGCUGUGGGUUCAAAAUCCAUGUUGCGUGAA